GCGGGCGUGGCGGAAUUGGCAGACGCGCUGGAUUCAGGGUCCAGUAUCUGCAAAGAUGUGAAGGUUCAAGUCCUUUCGCCCGCA
rnacentral:tRNA from 1 species